AGGAGGCCCUCCCCUUAGGACCCAGACUGUCAUCUCCUCUGUGACAUCCUGAAUCUUCCUCUUUCUCAGGAAAUGGGAGCCGUGAAUUGCAGCUGAUUUUGGAGUUCAAACAGACUUUCCUGGACCAGGGAUCAGAUGCAAGCCACAGAUGCGACCUAUACCACCAUAGCUGCGACAACGCUGGAUCCUUAACCCACUGUGCCAGGCCGGGGAUUGAACCUGAGUCCCAGGGCUCCAGAGAUACCACCGAUCCUGUUGGGCCACAAGAGGAACUCCUCAACCUUGUUUUUAAAAUUGCACUUUUAUUGAGAUAAGAUUCCUCUGCCAUACAGUUCACCUAUUUAAAGGGGGACACGACGGUGCUGGUGCUUCCUUGGUCUAUCCAGGUGUCAGAGAAGGUUUUUAUACAGAGAUUAAGACUGCAUCCUCAUUCCUGAUUUGUGAGAAUGUGGAACAAACUUCAUUACAGAAAACCUGACCAGGCCCUGCCGUGGGCGCUGUGAUCAGGGGCUGCACUGAAGCCUCUCGGACAAGGGUAUCACCCGGCCCUUUCAUUGAGCAUCUAUUUCACUGAUGGAAGAAGAGGAAGAGAUAAUUGAACGUGUCUCUACUACUGAAGAAACCAUGUUUAGGAAAAACUCUGGAAGGAGGAGGGAUUUAUUGGUAUUGGAGCAUCGGGAACAGUUGGUGUCAAAAGGCUGUUGUCACUGCUGAAUCUGACCUUCAAACAUUUCCCCUGACUCAGCACUGUCUGCCUCAGCGUCCAGGUUCCAGUUUCUUCACAGGGUGCUUGUUGGCUGGAUGAUGGUGCAGACUGACUCAGAUGCCACCACAACUGUGUGUUUUGUGGCCAGUUUCCUAAUUCCUGGCGAGCCCUGAUUAGUCUUAGGAGGGAGGUGUUCCUGAGGGCAAAUGCCAUGGGGUGAAGAGAGAUGAAACAGAAAGGAAGAAGAGGGGAGACCUUGUCAUGGAAAUCCAGCUGAUCCAUGCAGGGAGCCUGCGAACUGAGAGCUAACAGCUUCAUUCAUCAGCAUUUAUCAAGUACUCACUGCAUCACAGAGGUGGAAGUUGCAGUGAAAAUAAGCUCCAUGUCAGGAUGAACUUUCUACCACCAGAACUGUCCCAAGAUGGACUUUUUCCUUGAGGGGGCUGAGGGGACAUUCACGUUUACUGCUUUGACAAUCUCUUGGUGAUGACACAGGUAACUGAGAAAGCCGUACAAAACACAGUCUCUGUUCUUGGAAAACGCAAAAGAGAGCUGGAAGAACAGAAUACAUGCUGAGAGGUACAGUGAUGUUGCCCACCUGGGGGACUCCGAGCUUGCGUGCUGAGGCCAAAUGAGUUAAUGCGUGACCACCAGGAUGUGCACCAUGCUUUCAAAUGUCUGGCCACAGACUGAAGCUCUUGCCCCUGCAUCCCCAUUAGUGUCUCUGAAGGACAAAGGAACAGUACAGGAGCUUGGAUUGUCAAGGAUCUACUUGGAGAUCACUUCAAAUUGACCAUUCCUCCAGAAACAGAUGUGUCAAUUCUGCACUGAGAGUAAAGCUCAAUAAUGAAAGCAUACCCUUAUUACUAAUCUUCUGGUUAAUACUUCCCUUCUUUCACUGGCCAGUGCUGCGGCUGCCUUCCUCCUUUUUACGUUGGCUCUGAAACCAAAACCUAACAGUGUUAACCCUUUUUUUAACUCCUCCGACUUGCAUGGCUCCCAGAAUAAAGACCCUGGAGCGAGGAGUUAAGGGCUCGCAUGACUGGAUGUUGUCCUUUCUAACUUCUCCCUCACCAACAUCUCCCUAGCUCUCUUCACUCCAGCCCUUUGAUGAUACUUUUCAGCCCCUGGAAACUUUAAAUUCUUCCCCAAACUUCAAAUUCCUCCUUCCAGGCUUUUGCACAUCUGCUCAUCUGCCUUGUCUUCACCUGUCACUUUGCACUUAAGAGUCAGAUCUCAGCUAAAGCUUCACUUCGGGAAGUGCUCCCCGACCUCCACUUUCAGCUCAGGGUAUCCACCAUAAACCCUCUCACCAGCGCACAGGCUGCUCCUUGCAGUCCUCAUUGCAUCUGUAAGGCAGUAUGUAUGUAUUUUGUCAUGAUGUCAUGGACGGUCUGUCUUCCCCAGUGGACUGUAAACUCCACAGUGUAAGGGUCCCUAUUUGUCCUUCUCACAGUUUCAUCUCUAGCACAUACCACAGUGCCUCACACAUGGUAGCCAAAUUUCACAGGUUACUUUCUUCUUUUGGCGGGGGGGGGGGGGGCUCACCUGUGGCAUGUCGAAAUUCCUGGGCCAGGGGUCGAAUUGGAGCUGCAGCCGCCAGCCUAUGCCACAGCCACAGCAAUGCCAGAUUGGAGCCUCGCCUGUGACCUAUGCCAUAGCUCAUGGCAAUGCUGGAUUUAACCCACUGAGUGGGGCCAGGGAUAGAACCUGCGUCCUCACAGAUACUGAUUGGGUUCAUUACUCCUGAGCCACAGUGGAAAUUCCUCACAGGUUAUUUUCUAUUCAUCCAACCAAUAUUUAUUGAGCACCCAUUAACCAAUGCUAGUGAUUAUUGCACAAAGUGAGAAAGGAAAAAAUGCCCCAAGAUCAUGGUUGAGGAUUCACUGGAGAAAGGGAAGUUACAGAGGCAAAUCCAACAUGAUUUAAACAGGAAAAUGAGUAAAAUAUAGAAGUUAGUAAAACAGUUUCUCUGUUCCUGACAAAGAAAGCCUCCUGGCAUGCUACACUGCAGCUCAUGGCUAUUACCAGGCACUUGUGGUUUCCAAGGAUUAUAAAUGCACUGAUGUAGCCUGCACUUUUAAUGACACAUCAAAUCAGUAGGGGGGGAGUUGUUCAGAACUUUGGGAAAUUCAACCGAGAAUGUUUACUUCAUUUAGCAAAUAUCUACUUAGGCAGAGUCUUUGAUGGGAUAGCUGACAUGUUAGGCCCUGCCGGGGAGUCUUACCUGUUCAGAAAAGAUUCACUCACAAGGCAGAAGAUACUUUGAUAAGUGCAGGAAAGAGCUAGAGCCUAGAUUUAUUUAUGUCAGUCAAGACAUAUACAGAGAAUAUGCCAUCUUUUAGAAUGAAAAUCAAAUCCUGAAGAACGGUUUUUUAAGAGAAGUUUGUUUGCAGUGACACGAUCACUUGAGAGCAUCAAUUUGAGUCUUUGUAUCCAGAGUUUACUGACUGCAGAAUGAAUAUAUUACACAUCAUCUGCCUUUGGCAUUGCACUGUAAAUAUUUCAUGGCUUUAAAUACAUGCCAUGAUUAGGUAUGUGUUUUAGUAGACAAGUGAAUAAGGGUGUAGAGCAAUGGAAUGAAAAUAUUUCCUUUCAGUUCAGCACAUUUUCAUCUGGGGGCUUUAAAAACACAUUAGAGAGAAAAAUUCUACAGUGCUGAGGUUCUCCUGGUGAUAACAGAGCUGAGGAUGGGAAACAGAUCCUAAGUUUUGGUCUUUAGUGCUCCCUGAAAAUGCUCAUAGACAUCCUCAGCUAUUUCACAAAUUUGUUUUGGUAUUAAAUAUUACUCCAAAAGCCAGUUUUUAAGUUAUUUAGCCAAUAAAGAUGGGGAAAGGGUUUUAAUGUUGAAGUAGCCUUGAAAUCAAACGAACAAAUACAAAUAAAGAACAUUCA
rnacentral:lncRNA from 1 species